rfam:Salmo salar isolate Sally breed double haploid chromosome ssa21, whole genome shotgun sequence.
UGCACUCACUACUGUAAGUCACUCUGGAUAAGAGUGUCUGCUAAAGGACUCAAA